rnacentral:lncRNA from 1 species
CGGCGGCUUUGUGAAAAAUUGUGCACAUCCUGCUACAAGCAUGAAAUUUGGCAUAGACCUUCCUCAACUAUUACUCUUUUAUUUCAGAUAGGGAGGCAUUUGAAAAAAAUGUCUCACUUCCGGUAAAAUCCAAAAUGGCGGACGUCAUACUUAAAUCAGCCCAAUAUCGAAGGCUAGUGUGUAAAAAUGUGUUAUUAUCAUGC